rnacentral:rRNA from 1 species
ACACAUGCAAGUCGAGGGGCAGCAUUUUAGUUUGCUUGCAAACUAAAGAUGGCGACCGGCGCACGGGUGAGUAACACGUAUCCAACCUGCCGAUAACUCGGGGAUAGCCUUUCGAAAGAAAGAUUAAUAUCCGAUAGUAUAUUAAAACCGCAUGGUUUUACUAUUAAAGAAUUUCGGUUAUCGAUGGGGAUGCGUUCCAUUAGUUUGUUGGCGGGGUAACGGCCCACCAAGACUACGAUGGAUAGGGGUUCUGAGAGGAAGGUCCCCCACAUUGGAACUGAGACACGGUCCAAACUCCUACGGGAGGCAGCAGUGAGGAAUAUUGGUCAAUGGACGAGAGUCUGAACCAGCCAAGUAGCGUGAAGGAUGACUGCCCUAUGGGUUGUAAACUUCUUUUAUAUGGGAAUAAAGUAUUCCACGUGUGGGAUUUUGUAUGUACCAUAUGAAUAAGGAUCGGCUAACUCCGUGCCAGCAGCCGCGGUAAUACGGAGGAUCCGAGCGUUAUCCGGAUUUAUUGGGUUUAAAGGGAGCGUAGGUGGAUUGUUAAGUCAGUUGUGAAAGUUUGCGGCUCAACCGUAAAAUUGCAGUUGAAACUGGCAGUCUUGAGUACAGUAGAGGUGGGCGGAAUUCGUGGUGUAGCGGUGAAAUGCUUAGAUAUCACGAAGAACUCCGAUUGCGAAGGCAGCUCACUAGACUGCAACUGACACUGAUGCUCGAAAGUGUGGGUAUCAAACAGG